CAGAGAUGUCCCUUGUGUUCGGUCGAAUCGUUCCGUGAAGAAGUCCGAUUCUCCCGCUACACAAGGGCAUUCUCGUUCUACGGCACGCUCACCCGACCAAGUUCAUCGGUGGAUCCGG
rnacentral:sRNA from 1 species